CCUACGGGAGGCAGCAGUGAGGAAUAUUGGUCAAUGGGCGCGAGCCUGAACCAGCCAAGUCGCGUGAGGGAGGACGGCCCUACGGGUUGUAAACCUCUGUUGCCGGGGAGCAACGGGCGUCACGUGUGGCGCCCCUGAGAGUACCCGGAGAAAAAGCAUCGGCUAACUCCGUGCCAGCAGCCGAGGUAAUACGGAGGAUGCGAGCGUUCUCCGGAUUUAUUGGGUUUAAAGGGUGCGUAGGCGGAUCGUUAAGUCAGUGGUCAAAUUGAGGGGCUCAACCCCUUCCCGCCAUUGAAACUGGCGCUCUUGAGUGGAAGAGAAGUAUGCGGAAUGCGUGGUGUAGCGGUGAAAUGCAUAGAUAUCACGCAGAACCCCGAUUGCGAAGGCAGCAUGCCGGCUUCCGACUGACGCUGAAGCACGAAAGCGUGGGGAUCGAACAGGAUUAGAUACCCCGAGUAGUC
rnacentral:rRNA from 1 species